rnacentral:lncRNA from 1 species
AAAAUGUAAUUAAAUAGAUUUCUUGAUUCAAUAAUUUACUUCAACGUAAUCAAUUGAGAAUAUAAAACCCUAGCCUCUGCUUAAGCUCGCUGUCGUCGCUUGCCAUCGGCCGAAUUUGCUCGCUCGUUGUCUUUGCUUUUCUCUUGUAUAAGAGUUGCCUUACUUUCUUGAUUGAAAGUCAUUUUCGCUACCUCUCAAAUCACCAUCCCUCUCAAAUCAUCAUCUCACAAUAAAUCCAUGGCCGCCAACGCUAAUAACACCGCCGCCAUCGCCCCCGGAGCCAUAGAUCCCAAACCUACCUUCCACCUACACACCAUUGUCGCCACAUGAGUCAUUGAUCUGUCGCUGGAGGAGAAACCUGAGCUGAAACCCUCGCUCGCUGGCCUUAUCAUCGGCCCGCCGGUAUGGAAGUCACCGGUGAAGACAGAGCACAACAAGUCACACACUAGGGCGGAUCACCCGGAGGUGAUUCGCCACCAGGAGUAAUCUGUUUGGUAUAGGACUGCUGAGGAGCCGGAUCACCGCAGCAGCUUCAGCGAGUUUCACCAGCACUCCGUGGGAGACGUUUUUAGUUUAAUAAAAGUCAUGUUGAAAUCUAUUCCGUACUUUCAUUUUGCGUUUACUUCGUAGCUUCAGUUUCAUAGGUUGUAUUUUUGUGUUGAUUGUCAGUUUUGAAUUGGUUUAGACCUUUCAAAAUGCCCAUUAGAAGAGCAAGGACUGAGGCGGUUAAUUUGCUAACAACCUAUGAUCCAUAUAUUCCCGAUUUGUGGGAUCUACCCCUCUGUGUGGCUUAUUUAUUACUGUUCAAUCGGUUUCGACCAUAUUGAAUGAAAAUGAUCCGACUUUUAUAAAGAAUAAGUUACUUCAACGUAGAUAAUAGAUUUCUAAUCAAACCAGCCCAAAGCUUUAACCGGCUGACCAAAGUCGAUAUAUUCG